rnacentral:lncRNA from 1 species
UUGACGGAGUCUCGCACUGUCGCCCAGGCUGGAGGGCAGUGGCGCCAUCUCGGCUCACUGCAAGCUCCGCCUCCCGGGUUCACUCCAUUUUCCCGCCUCAGCCCUCCGCCACCACGCCCAGCUAAUUGUUUGUAUUUUUAGUAUAGACGGAGAUUUCACCAUGUUAGCCAGGAUGGUCUCGAUUUCCUUACCUCAUGAUCCCCUGCCUCGGCCUCCCAAAGUGCUGGGAUUACAGGCGUGAACCAAGGCGCCCGGCCGGAGUAGGAAUUUUAUGGGUUAUAAACUAAGGAUAUGGAGGUCGACUUGAGGAAGAAACCUGGAGUAUAAAAAUUCAGUUUGGAAAAAGACGUUUUGUCUCUUAAACUGAAGCACAUUCCUGCCAUUCAUUCGGACCAUACGAAGAUAAAACUAAAAACUUUUCUCUAAAGCUCCUGGUGAUGGUAGUUGAGUCAAUGAGCCACCAGCAACAACAAAGGACAAAAAGACUGCCAAAAAGUUCUAUGGCACAAGAAGUUUGAGAACUAGUGCUGUGGAUACCAUCUAUACAGCAAAGCACUAUGCUUCUGACGAUAGACCCUGCUUUCCUAAUUGAUCAAGAGAUAAAUAAGUGAUUCCAGCUGGCUAAAUGUGUGUUGCUGGCAAUAUGUGGCCCCAGGGGAGAGGCAAAAGUGGAGGUUCCCGAGUCAUCUGAGAUUUGUUGCCUCGGAACAGGAUCCACAGCUCAAUAAUAGUCACUGUACUGUCAUUGUUUAUUUGAAAUCUAAAGGUGUAAUGCAAGAAUAUGCAAGACCACAGGGACUGGAGACACAAAGAGCAUCUGAAGAGAGCUUGAAUGACUCCCAACAGUUCCAGUCUCAAAGUUACCAUGUGCAGCACAGUCAGGGCAGCAUGUGAGAAGAACAACAAGAAAGCUGGGGUCUGCCAGAGAAGACGGAAGCCCUCACAUUAAACUGAGUCAGCUGGCAUCUUGAUCUUGGACUUUCAAAUCUCCAGAACUGUGAGAAAUAAAUUAAGGGAAGAGACAGCUUGGAGUCUCCCACGGAUACAUGAAUGCAUCUACCUGGAAAUAAUACAUCACUUCCACUCACGUUUCAUUGGCCGAAGAAUAUCAAGGGGAUGGGGAAGUUCAGUGACCACUCCCUUCCACCCCCACCAUAAACUGAAGGAAGAGAAGAACUGGAAACACAGCUUCAAACAGCAAGCACGCAUAAGAUCCUGGAGUAGUCCCCCGAUUUCCAAUGCAGGAGGUUGCUUGGUGGCAGAGCUCUGCAAGUGUCCAACAGCAGGCAUUCCAUGGAGCCGUGCACUGGCGUGGAGUGCCAGCCAGCGUCUGAUAAAGAAAACGAAGAUACUCUAACGAAGCAGGAAAACUUCCUGGAUGAGGCAGAUCCAUCUCAAGGCUUUGGAUAAAAGGCUGAAGCAGGAGCAAUUGGAUACCACAACAUUAUAAUUUUUUUUUUUUUUUUGCAUUAUUCCUUUUGCUUUUUGCUUACCAUUUUCUUCCCAUGGCACUGAAGUGGAAUAUCCCAAGUGCCACCGAACUCAGAGAACUCCACGCCGGAAUGGGGGUGAGACUGGUGUUGUACCUCUGGCAUAGGAUAAGGAUGGCAGGCACGUAACAUUACGAAAUGUAGGACAAAUUCAAGCGAAAGAGAGGGAGAGGGAGAGAGAGGGGGAGAGGGAGAGCUAGAGACAGAUGGCGGAUCUGGCUAGGAGCCAAAGCCAGUGAAAUGAAUUACAUUGCUGAAUAACUGUACACCAUUGAUUCUGCCACUUGUUGCUGCAUGGUUAAAAAAAUGAAUUUUUAAAAAGCCCCAGUGUAUGCUGGAAUCCCCUUAUUUGUCAUGUGUGCAGCAGACAACUUUCACACGUAACUCCAUCCUGACAAUGAUAUGCUGUGGGUGUCUUGCAUAGGUGUGUAGAUGCGCGUGAAUGUGGUUGCGUGCAUGUAGGUGUGCCCAAGAAAGCAAAUGUGAGUGUGUGUGCAUAUGUAUGUGGGAGGAAGGAAAAACAAUCCCUGCAAUCUAGCCAUUUUUGUUUAAUGAAGAAUGGAGGACUGGCAUUCAGAGAUGUGGUUAUGUGCUGCAUAUUAAUGUGUGCUUACCAGACAUUCUCCCCCACUUUAAAAAUGAGUGGCACAGGAGUGAAGCCCUCUAUAGAUCAACCACGUGGGAGAAGCAACUCAUGAGGUAGCAUGUCAUCUCUAAACCUACAAAUGUGGCACAAGGAAUUCCGCAGAAGAACAAGUUGCUCUCUGACAAGAAGAAAAGCUGGUCCCAGGAAUACGAUGUUUGGGUGUUUUCGAAAAGACAGCCAGUCUCAGCAGAUUGUUCAAUAAAUGCUUCAUACCCAGGAUGAAGGGAGACAUUAUGGGAUGCCCAGGGGGCUUUGGAAAUCAAAUACAAUGUUUGAGUAGCACAAUUUGAGGUACAUUAUAUAAAAGCAAUUUGAAUUGCCAAUGAGGCGACAUAUCUGCAUGCUAAUUAGACCUGUGUCAAGCUUAGUCUGCAGGCUUCUGUUG